UAGUAACUGCGAGUGAAGCGGGAAAAGCUCAAAUUUAAAAUCUGGCGGUCUUUGGCCGUCCGAGUUGUAGUCUGGAGAAGUGCUUUCCGCGCUGGACCGUGUACAAGUCUCUUGGAACAGAGCGUCAUAGAGGGUGAGAAUCCCGUCUUUGACACGGACUACCAGUGCUUUGUGAUGCGCUCUCAAAGAGUCGAGUUGUUUGGGAAUGCAGCUCAAAAUGGGUGGUAAAUUCCAUCUAAAGCUAAAUAUUGGCGAGAGACCGAUAGCGAACAAGUACCGUGAGGGAAAGAUGAAAAGCACUUUGGAAAGAGAGUUAAACAGUACGUGAAAUUGCUGAAAGGGAAACGCUUGAAGUCAGUCGCGUUGGCCAGGACUCAGCCUUGCUUUUCGCUUGGUGCAUUUUCUGGUUGACGGGCCAGCAUCGAUUUUGACCACUGGAAAAAGGCUAGGGGAAUGUGGCACCUUCGGGUGUGUUAUAGCCCUUAGUCACAUACAGUGGUUGGGAUCGAGGACCGCAGCACGCCUUUAUGGCCGGGGUUCGCCCACGUUCGUGCUCAGGAUGCUGGCGUAAUGGCUUUAAACGACCCGUCUUGAAACACGGACCAAGGAGUCUAACAUGCCUGCGAGUGUUUGGGUGGAAAACCCGAGCGCGUAAUGAAAGUGAAAGUUGAGAUCCCUGUCGUGGGGGAGCAUCGACGCCCGGACCUGAACUUCGGUGAUGGAUCUGCGGUAGAGCAUGUAUGUUGGGACCCGAAAGAUGGUGAACUAUGCCUGAAUAGGGUGAAGCCAGAGGAAACUCUGGUGGAGGCUCGUAGCGAUUCUGACGUGCAAAUCGAUCGUCAAAUUUGGGUAUAGGGGCGAAAGACUAAUCGAACCAUCUAGUAGCU
rnacentral:rRNA from 1 species